CAAGCCCCUUGAUGCACUGGGCAUCUUCUACGUGAUCUUUGACAUCGUCUGGACUCUCCUGGUAAUGACAGGGCUCAUCUGGUUGUGGAGCAACAGGGCCAUUCCCUCUGUCCGCAUGCGCAAUGUGCCUCUGGCAAUCUGUUCAGUGCUCUUUCUGCAUGGCUACGGGGGGUUCUACAUUCUUGUUUAUCCACUCAAGGGGAUUACCAGCUGCCGCCUCGAGUUCUGGCUCAUGUGUGGCGUACUUCCAGUGGGGAUUGCGUUGUUUCAGGCUACGAACGUCCAGCUGCUGAGCGUGGCUACUCUCCAGCAGCGUUUCAUCAGGGAUGAUGGCACCUUUGAUGAGCCGACUCCGCAAGAAAUUCGCUGUCCGUUCAACAAGCUCAAGUGUUGGUGGACGCAUCUCUCGUGGGCUAGGCAGACUAUGUUUGCUAUUGCGAUUGGGAUGUUUAUCGAGGUAUUUUUUGUCUCUACUUGCAUUCUUCGGG
rnacentral:sRNA from 2 species